AAUGCAAGACUGAUGAUCAAAUAUUGACAAAGUGGACGUUACAUAUGAGCGCCUUAAAUUAUUUGUAUCUGAGCGUGUAAGAGAUUUCAUUUCAUUUGUGUUCCCAAUCAGGACCUUGUAAGCAGUGAGUAAGAUGUGCGCCCUAAUUAAGGAUUGGGCUGCAACCGGUUCAAAGCAUACAUGACCUUAUCUCUUUAGCUCGCGCUCAAACUUCUUAAGGCAAAACACACAUAAAAAUGGAUACUAAAGGACUUCAUCACUUUAAUUUGUUUUGAUUGUAAACGAAAAAUUUCUGAAUCUUUUUGCCACAACAUCAGUCUCAGAAAGCUAAACGCAUCUGCAGGAUGACUUUAAAGUGCCCUGUAUGCGUAAGAAAUGUAGAAUGUGCUAAGAAAAUCUUUCAGGAUUGAGAGGAAAUGAAUGUGGCUGAUGCGCUGUCAGGAGGAGUUCCGGUUGUUUUCAGCCUUGUGUUUAAGCAGCAGGUGGCGCCCGUGAUCCAUCUGAUAAAAACAUCCUGGUUUGGCCACUUCAGAAUUUUAUCCUUAAAUAGCCCCAUUCCAAUUCGACAGAAGAAUCCAAAAUCAGAUCAUAAAAUACAAUAGCUUAUUUUAUUAAACGUUACUUCAGAUGUACAUUCCAUAUUUGUGCUUAGGUUAUGUUAAUGGUUAAAUAAUAUUGUUCCUUGUAGCUACAAUGGAUAUUAAAGCUUCUGUGUUAAUUUAUUAUAUUUAAUAUCUAAUAAAGGUGUGUUCAGCAGAAUAUUACUUCUAUGCACAUAUGUGAGGAAC